rnacentral:tmRNA from 1 species
GGGGGCGAUUUGGAUUCGACGACGGUUACGAAACCUUCAGGUGCAUGUCGAGAUGGCAGCCAAUCUCGUAAAUCAAAAGCUGCAAAAUAGUAAUCGCAAACGACGAUAACUUCGGCGCUCAAGGCGCUCUAGCUGCUUAAUACCCAGCUAGCGGUUGUAAUUGGCUUACUUGUUGGCUGGUUUCAACUGUCAAUUUAAACAAGGUCGCUGUGAAGCAUGCCUGAGGCGGAUCAGUUAAACUAAUUUUCAGGCUCGCUUGUUACAUCCUGAUCGUCGGGUUGUUUUGAGCUAACUAAAUAGACGAAUCUAAACAUGUAGAGCCGAAGGCAGAGAACUGGCGGACGCGGGUUCAAUUCCCGCCGCCUCCACCA